AGGACGACGCUGGCGGCGUGCCUAACACAUGCAAGUCGAGCGAGGAGAUCCUUCGGGAUGAUCCUAGCGGCGGACGGGUGAGUAACACGUGGGCAACCUGCCUCAUAGAGAGGAAUAGCCUUCCGAAAGGGAGAUUAAUACCUCAUAACAUUGCAGUUUCGCAUGGAACAGCAAUUAAAGGAGUAAUCCGCUAUGAGAUGGGGCCCGCGGCGCAUUAGCUAGUUGGUGAGGUAAUGGCUCACCAAGGCGACGAUGCGUAGCCGACCUGAGAGGGUGAUCGGCCACAUUGGGACUGAGACACGGCCCAGACUCCUACGGGAGGCAGCAGUGGGGAAUAUUGCACAAUGGGGGAAACCCUGAUGCCAGCAACGCCGCGUGAGUGAUGACGGCCUUCGGGUUGUAAAGCUCUGUCUUCAGGGACGAUAAUGACGGUACCUGAGGAGGAAGCCACGGCUAACUACGUGCCAGCCGCCGC
rnacentral:rRNA from 1 species